UGGAAGGGUAGCGAAGAGGCUAAACGCGGCGGACUGUAAAUCCGCUCCUUCGGGUUCGGGGGUUCGAAUCCCGUCGUUCGC
rnacentral:tRNA from 1 species